GAGAAUCUACCAAAAGGACUGGGACAACCACUGGAAACGGUGGCUAAUACCGGAUGAGCCGCAACGUAAAAGAGGAAACUCGCCUUUUGAAGAGCUCGCGUCUGAUUAGCUAGUUGGUGAGGUAAAGGCUCACCAAGGCGGCGAUCAGUAGCUGGUCUGAGAGGAUGACCAGCCACACUGGGACUGAGACACGGCCCAGACUCCUACGGGAGGCAGCAGUGGGGAAUUUUCCGCAAUGGGCGAAAGCCUGACGGAGCAAGACCGCGUGAGGGAGGAAGGCUCUUGGGUUGUAAACCUCUUUUGUCAGGGAAGAACACAAUGACGGUACCUGAAGAAUCAGCAUCGGCUAACUCCGUGCCAGCAGCCGCGGUAAUACGGAGGAUGCAAGCGUUAUCCGGAAUUAUUGGGCGUAAAGCGUCCGCAGGUGGCACUUCAAGUCUGCUGUCAAAGACCGGGGCUUAACCCUGGAAAGGCAGUGGAAACUGAAGCGCUAGAGUGUGGCAGGGGUAGAGGGAAUUCCCGGUGUAGCGGUGAAAUGCGUAGAGAUCGGGAAGAACAUCGGUGGCGAAAGCGCUCUACUGG
rnacentral:rRNA from 1 species